UACGUAGGGGGCAAGCGUUGUCCGGAUUAUUGGGCGUAAAGAGCGUGUAGGCGGCCAGGUAGGUCGGUUGUGAAAACUGGAGGCUCAACCUCCAGACGUCGACCGAAACCAUCUGGCUAGAGUCCGGAAGAGGAGAGUGGAAUUCCUGGUGUAGCGGUGAAAUGCGCAGAUAUCAGGAAGAACACCCGUGGCGAAAGCGGCUCUCUGAGACGGUACUGACGCUGAGACGCGAAAGCGUGGGGAGCGAACAGG
rnacentral:rRNA from 1 species